UACGGAGGGGGCUAGCGUUGUUCGGAAUUACUGGGCGUAAAGCGCACGUAGGCGGUUUUGUAAGUUAGAGGUGAAAGCCUGGGGCUCAACUCCAGAAUUGCCUUUAAGACUGCAUCACUUGAACACGGGAGAGGUGAGUGGAAUUCCGAGUGUAGAGGUGAAAUUCGUAGAUAUUCGCAAGAACACCAGUGGCGAAGGCGGCUCACUGGCCCGGUACUGACGCUGAGGUGCGAAAGCGUGGGGAGCAAACAGG
rnacentral:rRNA from 1 species